rnacentral:rRNA from 1 species
CACGAACGCUGGCGGCAGGCUUAACACAUGCAAGUCGAGCGCCCCGCAAGGGGAGCGGCAGACGGGUGAGUAACGCGUGGGAAUCUACCCAUCUCUACGGAAUAACGCAUGGAAACGUGUGCUAAUACCGUAUACGUCCUUCGGGAGAAAGAUUUAUCGGAGAUGGAUGAGCCCGCGUUGGAUUAGCUAGUUGGUGGGGUAAAGGCCUACCAAGGCGACGAUCCAUAGCUGGUCUGAGAGGAUGAUCAGCCACACUGGGACUGAGACACGGCCCAGACUCCUACGGGAGGCAGCAGUGGGGAAUAUUGGACAAUGGGCGCAAGCCUGAUCCAGCCAUGCCGCGUGAGUUAUGAAGGCCCUAGGGUUGUAAAGCGCUUUCACCGGUGAAGAUAAUGACGGUAACCGGAGAAGAAGCCCCGGCUAACUUCGUGCCAGCAGCCGCGGUAACAC